rnacentral:rRNA from 1 species
GACGAACGCUGGCGGCGUGCUUAACACAUGCAAGUCGAACGGAAAGGCCCUGCUUUUGUGGGGUGCUCGAGUGGCGAAAGGGUGAGUAACACGUGAGUAACCUGCCCUAGACUUUGGGAUAACUUCAGGAAACUGGGGCUAAUACCGGAUAUGAGCUCCUGCUGCAUGGUGGGGGUUGGAAAGUUUCGGCGGUUGGGGAUGGACUCGCGGCUUAUCAGCUUGUUGGUGGGGUAGUGGCUGACCAAGGCUUUGACGGGGAGCCGGCCUGAGAGGGUGACCGGCCACAUUGGGACUGCGAUACGGCCCAGACUCCUACGGGAGGCAGCAGUGGGGAAUAUUGCACUAUGGGCGGAAGCCUGAUGCAGCAACGCCGCGUGCGGGAUGACGGCCUUCGGGUUGUAACCCGCUUUCGCCUGUGACGAAGCGUGAGUGACGGUAAUGGGUAAAGAAGCACCGGCUAACUACGUG